AUAAUAACAUAUUUAGUUAUCAAUACUUAUACAAUCUAUCAAUUUGAUCCUCAAACAUAUUAUAAAUAUAGUUAAAUAUAAACACAUAUAAUAUUAUUUAUAUAAAAUAAAAAAAAUUCUUCCCCUCCCCUCUUCCGAUCGUCCCUCUCCUUCUCCCCACCGUCCCUCUUAUAAUUUUUUAUUUUAAAAAAACCUUUCCUUUUAUUUUGGGUUUUUUUUUUCUUCUUUUUCAAUUAUGAAUCCAUGAUAGCGGAGAGAUAGAAAAAGGCUUGACUUUUGAUCGAUCUCAAGAUUGAAAAAAAAUGCUUUUUUUAUUGAAAAAAAAUGCUUUUUUUUUUCUUUUUGAGUUAAAAAGUUUUUAAAUGACCAAAAAAAAAAAAUCUGUUGCAGAGUUGAAAGAGAAGCAAACGACGGGGACGGAGACAGUGAAUCAUCUAAGAGAACGAUUAAAGCAAAGACGCCAACAGUUGCCCGACAUCGAUGAACGUUUCAACGGGAGGGAGGCGAUGGAAGAGAAGAAGGAUACUUGCUCUCUUGUGCAUUCAGGCUUAUAUAGUAAUGCCGCAUGGAGACCUAUAUGGUGUUUUGUAUGAUUGUGCGAAUUCAUUAUAUGUCAGUUAUUGUCAUGGUAUAUGCUAUGUAGUCAUAGAUUAUCCUCGUUUGACACCUUUUUAGUUGAUUGUAAAUAUUACCUGCAACAUGAGUGAUUAUUUUUAUAGUUGAUAUUCAUAUAAUUCAA